GAUGAACGCUGGCGGCGUGCUUAACACAUGCAAGUCGAACGGUGAAGGCGGAGCUUGCUCUGCUGGAUCAGUGGCGAACGGGUGAGUAACACGUGAGCAAUCUGCCCCUGACUCUGGGAUAAGCGCUGGAAACGGCGUCUAAUACUGGAUACGAGCUGCGAAGGCAUCUUCAGCAGCUGGAAAGAACUUCGGUCAGGGAUGAGCUCGCGGCCUAUCAGCUUGUUGGUGAGGUAACGGCUCACCAAGGCGUCGACGGGUAGCCGGCCUGAGAGGGUGACCGGCCACACUGGGACGGAGACACGGCCCAGACUCCUACGGGAGGCAGCAGUGGGGAAUAUUGCACAAUGGGCGAAAGCCUGAUGCAGCAACGCCGCGUGAGGGACGACGGCCUUCGGGUUGUAAACCUCUUUUAGCAGGGAAGAAGCGAAAGUGACGGUACCGGCAGAAAAAGCGCCGGCGAACUACGU
rnacentral:rRNA from 1 species